rnacentral:tRNA from 1 species
ACACUUCUAGCUUAAUGGAUAGAGCAGCAGCCUUCUAAGCUGAUGGUUAUGAGUUCAAAUCUCGUGAAGUGUA